UGAGGAUAUUUGCACUGGAGCCAUUUUGUUGUAUUUAAUUUGUGAAAAUUACUAAAAAACAAAAUCUAAAAUGUCCAUUCUGUGUCUUUGAAUAUAUCACCUUUUAUUAAUAAGCACUGUUUUAUAGAUGGUCUUUUUUUUUUUUAACUUCAUCACAUUUAUCAAAAGGUUUAUUUCAUUAGAAUGUUCCUUUUUCACUAUGUUUAAUAAUGCAUGGGCAGCUUGCAGUUAAGCUACUGACAAUCUUAUAUUUCUUUUUUUUCAGGUGGCUGCUGCUUCAACCCAGAGACAAGCAAGGAUGGUUUACAACUUUUUGAAACUGAGACCGUUCUUUCUUUGGAGAUGAGAAAAUGUAAAACCAAAGCUGACCCAGCCUCCAUCACUAAAAGUUUUCUGAGUAGUUACUUUGCUACUCAUGGGUACGAUACACUUCCAGAGGCUGUCUUACCAAGCCAGAUAAGCAGUAAAGUGACAGUUACACAGAACUGAUCAUUGAAUUGAACAUGCUGGAAAGUACAGGAAAGUAAAGAUUUAAUUUUACUUACAGCCUAUUACAUACAAAUACACAUUUAAUUAAUAUUUCAG
ensembl:lncRNA